UACGUAGGGGGCAAGCGUUAUCCGGAUUUACUGGGUGUAAAGGGAGCGUAGACGGUGUGGCAAGUCUGAUGUGAAAGGCAUGGGCUCAACCCGUGGACUGCAUUGGAAACUGUCAUACUUGAGUGCCGGAGGGGUAAGCGGAAUUCCUAGUGUAGCGGUGAAAUGCGUAGAUAUUAGGAGGAACACCAGUGGCGAAGGCGGCUUACUGGACGGUAACUGACGUUGAGGCUCGAAAGCGUGGGGAGCAAACAGG
rnacentral:rRNA from 2 species